UACAGGGGGGGCAAGCGUUGUUCGGAAUUACUGGGCGUAAAGGGCUCGUAGGUGGCCAACUAAGUCAGACGUGAAAUCCCUCGGCUUAACCGGGGAACUGCGUCUGAUACUGAUUGGCUUGAGUGUGGGAGAGGGAUGCGGAAUUCCAGGUGUAGCGGUGAAAUGCGUAGAUAUCUGGAGGAACACCGGUGGCGAAGGCGGCAUCCUGGACCACGACUGACGCUGAGGAGCGAAAGCCAGGGGAGCAAACGGG
rnacentral:rRNA from 1 species